rnacentral:rRNA from 1 species
GAAGUUUUGAUCCCUGGNCUCAGGACGAAACGCUGNGCGGCGUGCUUAACACAUGCAAGUCGAGCGAGGUCCAUCCGGUGGCAAACACCGGUGAAGACCUAGCGGCGAACGNGGUGAGUAACACGUGAGCAACCUGCCCCGAAGACCGGGAUAACAGCGGGAAACCGCUGCUAAUACCGGAUGCCCUCACCGGGCCGCAUGACCUGGUGAGGAAAUGGCUGAGUCUUAAUAAACUCAGUCCGCUUCGGGAGGGGCUCGCGGGCUAUCAGCUUGUUGGUGAGGUAACGGCUCACCAAGGCUACGACGGCUAGCUGGUCUGAGAGGACGACCAACCACACUGGGACUGAGACACGGCCCAGACUCCUACGGGAGGCAGCAGUGGGGAAUCUUGCGCAAUGGGCGAAAGCCUGACGCAGCAACGCCGCGUGGGGGAUGAAGGCCUUCGGGUCGUAAACCCCUUUCAGCAGGGACGAAAAUGACGGUACCUGCAGAAGAAGCCCCGGCCAACUACGUGCCAGCAGCCGCGGUAAUACGUAGGGGGCGAGCGUUGUCCGGAUUCAUUGGGCGUAAAGAGCUCGUAGGCGGCUUGUCAAGUCGGGUGUGAAACCUCCAGGCUCAACCUGGAGACGCCACUCGAGACUGUCAUGGCUAGAGUCCGGUAGGGGAUCACGGAAUUCCUGGUGUAGCGGUGAAAUGCGCAGAUAUCAGGAGGAACACCGAUGGCGAAGGCAGUGAUCUGGGCCGGUACUGACGCUGAGGAGCGAAAGCGUGGGUAGCAAACAGGAUUAGAUACCCUGGUAGUCCACGCCGUAAACGUUGGGCACUAGGUGUGGGGCCUUAUCAACGGGUUCCGUGCCGUAGCUAACGCAUUAAGUGCCCCGCCUGGGGAGUACGGCCGCAAGGCUAAAACUCAAAGGAAUUGACGG